rnacentral:lncRNA from 1 species
CGCCCGGCUCAGCAAGGCACCUGUGCUCAGUUUAGCCAAUGUUUAAACGGCGGCCUUCUCAGAUUCCGCUAUCCUGGAUCCUUACAUCUAUAGAUACUCUAAGACUGAUUUUGCAGUGGGCUGCUGGAAGCCCAAGCUGUUCUGCUUCCUUUCAGGACCUGGAAGGCCGUCUUCCCAGUGGGUUGCGUAUAACAGACAUUUUGGCCAGCUUUCAGGUACUUCAAGAAAUUGGGUUUUCCCAUUAUUCAAAGAAGAGAAACGGAGAUUGAGACCAAGUUAUCUCACAGUAUGUCUCCACCUACUAUAUAAGGAGGGACAAAAAAGCAGCCAC